AUUUUUUCUCUCCUUUUCAAUGAUUCAACGCAUCCUUUUAUAGGAGAAAUCUGUGGUCCCUCUGAGUAUGAGCUGGCUCAGAUUGAUUGCAUAAUCAGUCGGUUAGAAUCGGAUCAUUCCCAGAUUUGGUGGGGACCAAAUUCGUGACGGGUCAUUUUUAUGAGCCAUUAUUUUGUUGGUCUGCAAGUUCACAGUUAAUCGAGAUAACAUGAAUUAUGGCGGCAUGAAUGGUUGUGGACCAAGGGCAUCACUUAACAUGAUGUUUGGAUAAUUGAGUAUUUCCUCAGCCAAUCUGCAGCAAUUGCAUCAUCGGACUUAUGUCCUAUACAUCAUUAUGUUGGUAUGUACUUGGAUUGAAACUGCAGUGGGUCUGUUACAAUGAUUUCAAGCAAUGUCCUCCAUGUUGCAUGCCUCCGGUGGCUAAUUCAUAAUAGCACAUUGGCUUGGAAACGCAAUCCUCCUUUCGGCUUAUCAGAAAUCAGUGAAGCUGACUUUGAGAGAUGAAUUGCACCUUGUGUACUUGGGAGUAUUGCCGACCACGAUGCGAUUCAUUAUCCAGGAGAGCGGGAAAUUAUGCAGCAAUCAGCAUCCACAUGUGUUUCAUCAGACCACCAUUGAGAGCUAGCCCUGGCAUAGCAGCGAUUCAUCCGUCAUCAGGUUUACCGAGGGUAUCACUCUUUGUUCGUAUGUUCUACAUUGCUCGACAACGAAUCCAUGUCUAAGACCUUCUUUUUAAGCACAUCUGUGAGACCAUACAUAAGGCUAUUUGCAUCCCUUAUCUCCGUCAAACUUAGUGUACAUAUGCUUGGAAGUACGAAGCCAACGGUCGUGUAUGCGAAGGAUCAAAUACAUCGGCCAACUAUUCAGAUCUUCCUUUUUCUGAGAAAACAUCUCCUUGGAACGCACCAGUUCCUGGUUUCACUCAUGAUACCAAGUUUACUGCUUCUGGAAGUGUUUUGGUGAAGAGAGUGCAUGGAGUUGUCGUGGUCAACUGUCAUGAUGUCUUAAGCUUAUAUACUUUUUAUUGUAAUGUCAUCAAGUCUUUAGAUCAUAGGCCAUGACUGUGUGUAAAUCAUGAGCUCUACCAAUAUAAUUGUAAACUAUGCCCCUUACAAAAAAAAAUCUCAGAAGGAUCGUGCCCAUAUGGAAAAAGAAUGGUUUUGUA